rnacentral:rRNA from 1 species
CCUACGGGAGGCAGCAGUGGGGAAUAUUGCACAAUGGGGGAAACCCUGAUGCAGCGACGCCGCGUGAGUGAAGAAGUAAUUCGGUAUGUAAAGCUCUAUCAACAGGGAAGAAAAUGACGGUACCUGAGUAAGAAGCCCCAGCUAACUACGUGCCAGCAGCCGCGGUAAUACGUAGGGGGCAAGCGUUAUCCGGAUUUACUGGGUGUAAAGGGAGCGUAGACGGCAGUGCAAGUCUGGAGUGAAAGGCGGGGGCUCAACCCCCGGACUGCUCUGGAAACUGUGCGGCUGGAGUGCAGGAGAGGGAAGUGGAAUUCCUAGUGUAGCGGUGAAAUGCGUAGAUAUUAGGAGGAACACCAGUGGCGAAGGCGGCUUACUGGACUGUAACUGACGUUGAGGCUCGAAAGCGUGGGGAGCAAACAGGAUUAGAUACCCGUGUAGUC